rnacentral:rRNA from 1 species
UACGUAGGGUGCAAGCGUUGUCCGGAAUGAUUGGGCGUAAAGAGCUCGUAGGCGGUUCGUCGCGUCGGCUGUGAAAACCCGGGGCUCAACUCCGGGCCUGCAGUCGAUACGGGCGGACUAGAGUUCGGCAGGGGAGACUGGAAUUCCUGGUGUAGCGGUGAAAUGCGCAGAUAUCAGGAGGAACACCAAUGGCGAAGGCAGGUCUCUGGGCCGAUACUGACGCUGAGGAGCGAAAGCGUGGGGAGCGAACAGG